UACGAUAAUAUCGCGAUACGAUUUGUGGCUAUGAAAUUGGAACUCUCGUAGUAAUAUUUUCGAAUAACUUUACUGAAGGACAGAAGAGCCGUUAUUGAUUCGGUCGCAAAACGGAAUCCGAACACAAAACAACCAAGGUGACGACGGGUAACGGUGGAGCAAUGGGAUCGUCAAAGGACUUAAGCACCGUUAAAAGUUGAAAACUGAGCCCAGCUAGCGAAUGAGCGA